AUACGGAGGGUGCAAGCGUUAAUCGGAAUUACUGGGCGUAAAGGGCGCGUAGGCGGUCUAUCAAGUCAGUUGUGAAAUCCCACGGCUCAACCGUGGAGGUGCAUCUGAAACUGAUAGACUUGAGUAUGGGAGAGGAAAGUGGAAUUCCCGGUGUAGAGGUGAAAUUCGUAGAUAUCGGGAGGAACACCAGUGGCGAAGGCGACUUUCUGGACCAAUACUGACGCUGAGGCGCGAAAGCGUGGGGAGCAAACAGGAUUAGAAACCCUUGUAGUCC
rnacentral:rRNA from 1 species